rnacentral:rRNA from 1 species
UCCUACGGGGCGCAGCAGUGGGGGAUAUUGCACAAUGGGGGAAACCCUGAUGCAGCGACGCCGCGUGGGUGAAGAAGCGCCUCGGCGCGUAAAGCCCUGUCAGCAGGGAAGAAAAUGACGGUACCUGAAGAAGAAGCCCCGGCUAACUACGUGCCAGCAGCCGCGGUAAUACGUAGGGGGCAAGCGUUAUCCGGAUUUACUGGGUGUAAAGGGGGCGCAGACGGCGAUGCAAGCCAGGAGUGAAAGCCCGGGGCCCAACCCCGGGACUGCUCUUGGAACUGCGUGGCGAGAGUGCAGGAGGGGCG